rnacentral:lncRNA from 1 species
ACAUAAUAUGGUUAUGGUUCUUUUUAUUGGUUGGAUGGUCUCACCAAGUACCCUUGGCUAGUCUGAAAGUCAGAGGUUACCCGCCUAUCCUCCUGAGUGCUGGGCACCGCAUGCCUGGCUGUGUGAACUGUUUCUUCAGGACUGGAGGUGAAGUCUGCAGAGUGCUGGUCUGUUACACAUGGACCUGACCUUGACUUGCAGUAGCACAGAGCAGAGACUUGUUCUUACGCAUGGUUUCAUAAUGUAGUGAGUGUGGCGGGCCUUGACCUCUGGUGCAGCAGGGACUACAAGUGUGGCCACUUUGCUUACAGUACAGUUCCUUAUUUCAAGCUUGUUGUGGAGUAAUAAAAAGACUCUGUUGGCCUAAACUUUUGAGUUUUCCUAUUAACAGGAAAAGCAAGAUGGCGUUAGAAACUCAUUGACAUAUCAUAGCACUGAGUUAUCUAGAAGUAAUGCAUUUGCUCCCUUCCCUGUUUUACAGGUUGAGAACAGAAAUUACUGGCAGAACUCGAUGCUAUCAUGGGUAAGAAGGGGACAAGAAUCAUCAUUUGGAACCUUAGAAGUUACAAAAAUGCAACAGAAUUUGAUUUUGAAAAGGAUAAAUAUGACAUCAGAAUUCCUGAGGAUUUAGAUGA